rnacentral:rRNA from 1 species
ANANNUUGAUCAUGGCUCAAAUUGAACGCUGGCGGCAUGCUUUACACAUGCAAGUCGAACGGCAGCACGGGUGCUUGCACCUGGUGGCGAGUGGCGGACGGGUGAGUAAUGCAUCGGAACGUGCCCAGGAGUGGGGGAUAACGCAUCGAAAGAUGUGCUAAUACCGCAUAUACUCUGAGGAAUAAAGCAGGGGACCGCAAGGCCUUGCGCUUUUGGAGUGGCCGAUGCCUGAUUAGCUAGUUGGUGGGGUUUUGNCCUACCAAGGCGACGAUCAGUAGUUGGUCUGAGAGGACGACCAGCCACACUGGGACUGAGACACGGCCCAGACUCCUACGGGAGGCAGCAGUGGGGAAUUUUGGACAAUGGGCGCAAGCCUGAUCCAGCAAUGCCGCGUGAGUGAAGAAGGCCUUCGGGUUGUAAUGCUCUUUCAGUUGAGAAGAAAAGGUUGUGGUAAAUAAUCACAAUUGAUGACGGUAUCGACAGAAGAAGCACCGGCUAACUACGUGCCAGCAGCCGCGGUAAUACGUAGGGUGCAAGCGUUAAUCGGAAUUACUGGGCGUAAAGGGUGCGCAAGCGGCUUUGUAAGUCAGAUGUGAAAUCCCCCGGGCUUAACCUGGGAAUUGCGUUUGAAACUACAAGGCUAGAGUGUAGCAGAGGGGGGUGGAAUUCCAUGUGUAGCAGUGAAAUGCGUAGAGAUAUGGAAGAACAUCGAUGGCGAAGGCAGCCCCCUGGGUUAACACUGACGCUCAUGCACGAAAGCGUGGGGAGCAAACAGGAUUAGAUACCCCUGGUAGUCCACGCCCUAAACGAUGUCAACUAGUUGUCGGGCCUUUUUAGGUUUGGUAACGAAGCUAACGCGUGAAGUUGACCGCCUGGGGAGUACAGUCGCAAGAUUAAGACUCAAAGGAAUUGACGGGGACCCGCACAAGCGGUGGAUUAUGUGGAUUAAUUCGAUGCAACGCGAAAAACCUUACCUACCCUUGACAUGUAGCGAAUUUUCCAGAGAUGGAUUANAAACNUACGGGAACGCUAACACAGGUGCUGCAUGGCUGUCGUCAGCUCGUGUCGUGAGAUGUUGGGUUAAGUCCCGCAACGAGCGCAACCCUUGUCAUUAAUUGCCAUCGUUUAGUUGGGCACUUUAAUGAGACUGCCGGUGACAAACCGGAGGAAGGUGGGGAUGACGUCAAGUCCUCAUGGCCCUUAUGGGUAGGGCUUCACACGUAAUACAAUGGCG